rnacentral:lncRNA from 1 species
GUGGGAUGUUUAGGUCUUAUGUCUGGAACUGUCCGGACCUUUCUAAUAAAGUUUUGGUAUUUCGUCUUUGAAUUACUUAUCUGGCUAUAACACGGAAAACUCCCGUAAAUACAUACACUACAUCUUUAAUACGUAUGUCACAGUGGGGAAUUAUAAACGAAAUUCGAUUUUGUGACUUUGCAGACAUUUAUAACAUAGUUUUAUAAAAUCUGAUUUCUUACAUUAUGCAAUAUAUAUCACUUACAU